rnacentral:sRNA from 1 species
CACCUGAAAAUCAUGAAUUACUUGUUGUUCGGAAGUGA